rnacentral:rRNA from 1 species
CAGUAGCCGCGGGAAUACGUAGGGUGCGAGCGUUAAUCGGAAUUACUGGGCGUAAAGCGUGCGCAGGCGGUUCGUUAAGACAGAUGUGAAAUCCCCGGGCUUAACCUGGGAACUGCAUUUGUGACUGGCAAGCUAGAGUAUGGCAGAGGGGGGUGGAAUUCCGCGUGUAGCAGUGAAAUGCGUAGAUAUGCGGAGGAACACCGAUGGCGAAGGCAGCCCCCUGGGCCAAUACUGACGCUCAUGCACGAAAGCGUGGGGAGCAAACAGGAUUAGAUACCCGCGUAGUCCCUGUCUCUUAUAC